ensembl:lncRNA
GUGCUUCUUUUUCACAAGGGUCAGUUUUGUCUUUUUUUCUGUUUAGACUUUGUUGUUCCCCUUUUUUUAUUUGUUUUCAUAUCUAGGUGAUGUAACUACAGGGUUGAGCCAACUUGAGACUGACUACUGUAAUUCUACAGCCUACAAUCCUGUAAAUCAGAUUUGCUGUAAUGGAAGCAUUCAUGAUCGAAGCAGUGCUCACACAAAAUGCUGUGGCCAAGGUAUACAAUCCAUUUGAUGCGGUUUAAAAAUUAGUCAGCGUUUGCACUCUUUUCAUCUUUUCAUGUUGCUUGUUGUGAGUGGUGUUUAUAGUUUUGAUUAUCAAAUUAAAUUAAAUGCUAAUUAAUUAAUUAAUUAAUUAAUUGAAAAAAAAAACAUUUUGAAAUGGUAAAGAAAUUUGGGUGAGACUGUUUCAUCAUAUCUCUAGAUCAAGAAUUUUCUAUAAUGGCUUUGUUCUCUCUCUCGCAUUUAUUUACAGUCAUGUACCUAACGACAACUCAUAUUUGUUGUGGUGGCAACAAAAUGCUUGAACUGAAGAAAAAUCUUUCUUGUUGUGGCGGUAAUUCAUUUAACAAGACGUUCCAGUAUUGCUGUUUAACAAACAACAAUGUUGAAGUGAGGCUCAAAAAUCAACCUUGCCAUUCACCACCUCCAACAGAAGCUGGACCCUCAGAGUAUGUCAACUGCUCAGGUGUACUGUACAGGAGGGGAUCAGGUCUUAAUCAGGUCAGAAUCCUUCUGAUAAACUUUUUUUGAUCAUGGCAGAGGCUAUUUACUCCUAGUGCAAAUGGCCAUAGAUUCUAUUUAUACUAAGUGAGAAUAGCAUUAUUUUCUUUGCAAGUGUAAAUAGUGUUACUUGCUAGGCUAUUUGGUGGCAAAUACUAUUUGCACCUCAGUGCAUUGUACUUCAUAGUAAAACAGUAUGCAGGAACAACAUAUUCAAUGUAUAUGGUUAUUUAUUUUAAAUCAUAAAUGACUGCUACU